rnacentral:lncRNA from 1 species
AUUUCACCAGCAGCCUGUCAUAUAUGCUUAGCUGUACCGGGAAGUUUUCAAGUACUAUUUAGCGGUGUAGCCUGUAACGGAUCUGGAAUAGAAGGAAACACGUGCUUCUGCAUUCCCCGACUGUCUAGAGGUGUUGAUGAAAAGGAAAAUGGAUACUUUAAUAUGACUGACUGCCCAACACUAGUAGUAUACAAUAUUAAGAUGAGGACUAUGAAAUUGAUCCUUGAAGUAUAAGAAGCAUGAUGUGCAUUGUGAGAAGCUUGUUUAAUAUUAGGGGGAGGGUUGAAUCGUUGUGUGACUAGCAAUAACGUUCAAGUUUGAGUUGUGGACCUGCAUUUUGGGAAUAUCUAUAUCAUAGUAAGAGGUCAUAAUGGGCAUGUUAUUCCUCUUGUAAAUGUGUUUGGAAAUGGUGGAUUGCAUGGCCAAGGACAUGUUAGACCUAUAAGGAAAUUCUUUUCUUUUCAUACUUCUUCUAAAUAUAUCUUGGAAAUGACGGAGGAUAUGUUCAAAGACAAGUUGAACCUAUAAGGAGUAACUUUCUUUUUUAAUUACGACCAACAAACUAGGACUGUCCUAACAUAUAUGUGAUUUUUUUUACUGUUGUCUUCCUAAAUUCUCUCCUUAAAUUAGGUUAGAACUCCACCUCCUUCCUCCUUCUGGUUGUCAUUUUGGGGACUUCUUUUCAUAAAAACAAUAUUGCUCCUAGUUUCUGUCUGCUAUCACACCAAAUCACUUAAAUGGCAGGGUUUUUUAUUUGUUAUAGAGAAGAUUGUAUAUACCUUGCUAUCAAAGUUUGGCAUCAUCACCUGAAAAAAAGGUGCCUUAAAGUGCCAGUAUUAAUACCCCUCUAAUUGUACCUUUGCGUCGUAUAUUUUCUGCUCCAUGCUUCCCAUCUCUACUGUUCCCCGUGUUUUAACCAUUCAUCCGCAAAUUAGGUAUCUUAGG